UACGAGGGGAGCAAGCGUUGUUCGGAUUUACUGGGCGUAAAGGGCGCGUAGGCGGCCACGACAAGUCACUUGUGAAAUCUCCGGGCUUAACUCGGAACGGUCAAGUGAUACUGUCGGGCUAGAGUACAGAAGGGGCAGCUGGAAUUCUCGGUGUAGCGGUGAAAUGCGUAGAUAUCGAGAGGAACACCGGCGGCGAAGGCGGGUUGCUGGGCUGAUACUGACGCUGAUGCGCGAAAGCCAGGGGAGCGAACGGG
rnacentral:rRNA from 1 species